rnacentral:rRNA from 1 species
GGCGUAAAGCGCACGCAGGCGGUCUGUCAAGUCGGAUGUGAAAUCCCCGGGCUCAACCUGGGAACUGCAUUCGAAACUGGCAGGCUUGAGUCUUGUAGAGGGGGGUAGAAUUCCAGGUGUAGCGGUGAAAUGCGUAGAGAUCUGGAGGAAUACCGGUGGCGAAGGCGGCCCCCUGGACAAAGACUGACGCUCAGGUGCGAAAGCGUGGGGAGCAAACAGGAUUAGAUACCCUGGUAGUCCACGCCGUAAACGAUGUCUACUUGGAGGUUGUGCCCUUGAGGCGUGGCUUCCGGAGCUAACGCGUUAAGUAGACCGCCUGGGGAGUACGGCCGCAAGGUUAAAACUCAAAUGAAUUGACGGGGGCCCGCACAAGCGGUGGAGCAUGUGGUUUAAUUCGAUGCAACGCGAAGAACCUUACCUGGUCUUGACAUCCACAGAACUUUCCAGAGAUGGAUUGGUGCCUUCGGGAACUGUGAGACAGGUGCUGCAUGGCUGUCGUCAGCUCGUGUUGUGAAAUGUUGGGUUAAGUCCCGCAACGAGCGCAACCCUUAUCCUUUGUUGCCAGCGAUUAGG